GUUUUAUUUUCAAAUAUUUCUUACCCUAUAUUUUGUUACAUUGAUGCAGAAUUUCUGUCGGAAGAAGAAGCAAGGAAUUUAAGAUUCAAACAAGAGGCAUUUAUCCUGGUGCUAAAGUUACAAGAGGUCCAGACUGGGAAUAUGACAACCAAGAUGGCGGAAUAGGGUCGUUUGGUACCGUGAAGAAAAUCACAAAUUGGAAGGAAAACCCAACAAGUGCAGCGGCUGUCUCAUGGGAGAAUGGUACUGAAAGUACAUACAGGCUUGGCUACCAUGGCAAAGUGGAUUUGAAGUGUGUAACUGCAAACAUUGGUGGUUAUUACUACAAAGGUCACCUUCCAAGUCUAGGCCAAAAGAACAAGACCCAUGAUAUGAGCUGGAUGAUUAGAGCUGAAAAUGCAAAAGCAUCAAGAAGUGCUUUACACAAAGCCUCAAUCAGUGGACAAUGCGAGACUGUUAGAAUGCUGCUUGAAAAUGGGGAAGAUGUUGACCAAACAGACAUGGUAAAUGUACUGUAUUUUCCUUUCUUUUAUGAAAUGGUGCGGGAUUCUUUUCAUGCGGUUAUACCAGUCGGUUAAAGGCAGCCUAAAAGUUCAGAGGGUUCUGACGGCGGAAAUGAAGUUGACUUCCUUUAUAUGUUGAGUUAUUCUUCGAAAGCAAACUGGCUACACGGAAAUCGUCAAGAUAUAUAAAAGCGAAAAUGCGAGGAGAAAAUAACGUACAGGAAAAGGCCGGUGGUAUUAUGAAGUGCAAUUGUUGUUUUUAAAUCUGGAUAUACGAGCAGCGUUCAAAACAAACCUAACCUACGUAGCGUGGGUCUAAAGUCUUG